rnacentral:lncRNA from 1 species
CAGUAGCAACCGUGGGGCAGUCCGUGCUUCCUGCCGUCUCAUACAGACUCGGAACAGCUCCUUCCUCCCAACUUGCGCAAUUGAGUGGAAGUUUGGAAAAAGCUCAAAAAAGAUCAUCAUAUGCUUGGUGCUGGACUGCUCCGUGGAUUUUAGGGGAGCUCCCAGGGAAUGCUCUGCUCGAUCUUACACCCAUUUCCCGUAUCGGGGCCGCGUUGAGGUCUUCCCAGAGAAUGCAUCCCUGCUGCUGCGGGACCUGCGGCUCAGUGACAGCGGGGUGUACAGCAUUGUCUUCAAACAGCAAAACCAAAGCAGGCAGAUCACCCUGGCCGUAUACAAUCAGCAUGAUUUCUCCGGACAUCCUCAUGAAGGUAAGUGCCUGUGUGCCUGCGCAGCCUCCUCCUGCAUUUCCAUGGACAUGGGAACAUCAGGCAUGGGCAGGAAUUUGGUCCCUCUUCCUAUUGGGAUGAACUACAGCAGCAAAAGGAGGAUUUCCAGGGGUAUCACAAUUGGUGCUGGUUGUGCUGCUUUUUUUAUAGUAGGAAACCCAUCCUGUUCUUUUCUGCAUGCUAAAUUAGACGCAUGAGAGCUUCUUGUUGGUGCAGCUGAUUUACUUGUCUUUAUGUGAAAUGAAUGGCCGCAGUAGGGAGAGAUGGUCUCAGAAACUGAAGCCCUGGGACUGAGUCCUGUGCCUGGAUAAAUCCAUUAUUUGCGGGGUUUAAUUGGGUGCUUGCAGAUAAAUCAACAGCCACAGAGGCUGUGAAACACAUGCCCAAUAUUCUUCUUCCAUUUUGGUGCCACUCUACUUACAAAGCAAGGAAAAUAAUGUCUGCUGUGGUGUCUGCCACCCAUGCAUUCCUUUAGGAAGCACUCACAGCACGUGUUGUGUUCCAAAUACCAGGCACCAAGGACCAAGACAACCCUCAUUACUACACAAUUGGAGUUUGCUCCAUUAUCGGCCUCUUUCUGCUGCUCCUGGUCCUCUGCAUAUUGUGGCGAGUGUGGAAGAAGAGGAGAACCAUUACACAGCAGCAGGCCUCAAACACAGAGGAUUCCCACGUGGAAAACCCUGUGGUAAGGGACAUGGCAACAAUUUACGCCACAGUUGGAGAAGAUUUGGAAGAGACAAAGCCAAGAGCAUCACCAGAGACUCUCUACGCAUCCAUAAACCUCCCUCAACUGCCUUCUGCUUCGGCUCCAAGCUUUGCAGGAGACAGAUGUGCCGCAAAGCCAAGGUGAUGCUGUUAACAGUUGUGGUCAGACCUUUGGUGAGGCCACUCCUGCCCAUGGAGUGUUUAAGUGCUUGGAGCAAGAGAUUAUGGGAACGCAUUAGUUUGCCUCAAACUGCAAUUUCUCUGGAAUUUGAGGGUUGAUCUGCUUUUAGUUUCAUGUUGAGACUUCCAGAGAGCACAGAGACACCAAACGCAAGAGAAAGAUGCCUAAAGCAAAGGCAAAGCAACAGUUCACCCAUGAUAAGCUUGCUUCCAGAGAAUGCCUUAAUUUGAGGGGUAAUGGAGGACAUUGGAAGGAUUUCAGUCUUGCAUCACAGGGUCCCUUAGCAAUUGCCUUGUUAUAUUAAAAGAGUGUAUGAAGAACUUUGGACCUGGUGUCCUUGUUUUUAUGAGUAUACCAAGUAAUACCUGAGCAGACCCUUUCUGCAAUAAACUUUGCUCAACAUUGGGGUCCCA